rnacentral:rRNA from 1 species
CAGUCGCCGCGGUAAUACGGAGGGUGCAAGCGUUAAUCGGAAUUACUGGGCGUAAAGCGCACGUAGGCGGAUCGAUCAGUCAGGGGUGAAAUCCCAGGGCUCAACCCUGGAACUGCCUUUGAUACUGUCGAUCUGGAGUAUGGAAGAGGUGAGUGGAAUUCCGAGUGUAGAGGUGAAAUUCGUAGAUAUUCGGAGGAACACCAGUGGCGAAGGCGGCUCACUGGUCCAUUACUGACGCUGAGGUGCGAAAGCGUGGGGAGCAAACAGGAUUAGAUACCCGUGUAGUCCCUGUCUCUUAUAA